GACGAACGCUGGCGGCGUGCCUAAUACAUGCAAGUCGAGCGAGACUCUUCGGAGUCUAGCGGCGGACGGGUGAGUAACACGUGGGCAACCUGCCUGUAAGAUUGGGAUAACACCGGGAAACCGGUGCUAAUACCGGAUAAUCCUUUUCCUCUCAUGGGGAAAAGCUGAAAGUCGGUUUCGGCUGACACUUACAGAUGGGCCCGCGGCGCAUCAGCUAGUUGGUGAGGUAACGGCUCACCAAGGCGACGAUGCGUAGCCGACCUGAGAGGGUGAUCGGCCACACUGGGACUGAGACACGGCCCAGACUCCUACGGGAGGCAGCAGUAGGGAAUCUUCCACAAUGGACGAAAGUCUGAUGGAGCAACGCCGCGUGAGCGAUGAAGGCCUUCGGGUCGUAAAGCUCUGUUGUUAGGGAAGAAUAAGUACCGGAGUAACUGCCGGUACCUUGACGGUACCUAACCAGAAAGCCACGGCUAACUACGUGCCAGCCGCCGCUGUAAUAC
rnacentral:rRNA from 1 species